AUGCAGGGUAUGGCCUUGGCCAUGUAGCAUUCCGAUCUUCCAGUGGUCAUGCAAACGGACUCAUCGGAAGCCCUGUCUAGCUUGACUAAUGGUGCGUUGGUUCACUCGCGAUACGAUCAUAUAGUUCUGGAAAUCAAAGAUCUGCUUGGUAGUAGGGAGUUUUUUUCAUAAAAGAUUAGUAGACUUCAAAAUAGAGUUGCCGAUCGUCUGGCGAAAUAUAGCCGGUCCGAACGAGCUACGGCUGUGUGGCUUGGUUCAGCUCCACCAUGUAUCGAGGACAUUUGGCCCCUCGACUGUAACUCUAUUCAUAUGUAA
rnacentral:rRNA from 1 species